GCGCCCUUGGUGUAACGCAUAGCAUACCAGGCUUCGAACCUGGGGAUGAAGGUUGGAUUCCUUCAGGGCGUUCCA
rnacentral:tRNA from 1 species